AGAAAGCGAGAAGAAGCAAGACAACAUCAAGCAGUGAUGUCUGGAUUUACCCCACCAGAACAGUUUGAUUUUACGUCACCAGAGCAUUGGCCUCUGUGGCGCGACCGCUUCAGACGAUAUCGCCAGGCGUCAAAGCUAAAUCUCGAUGAGGAGGAAACCCAGACAAUGUGAACAGGAUUGAAAGCAGAGCGAGAUACAAGCCAGCACCACAUCAAGCAAGACGCCCAAGCCAGCCUGGACCAGCUGUUGGACGAAGCCAGAGCCAGCCAGAUCCAGCCUCGUCCAGACCAAGAUCAGGUCGUGGACGAGCAGGCAGAGGAUCACUACUCUCCACAACAUGCAGCAGUAUGAGCAGAUGGUGCAGAAGCCAGACCUGCUGCCCACCUCAAGACAGCUGACCAGUGUUGGUGGUGUCCUUGAUGUCCUGGGAGUAUUCAGUGCAACCAUCAAGUACAAGCAGGUGAGCCUUGAGAAUGAACAUUUCUAUGUUCUGGACACUUCUCAGAAUCUGUUGUCACGCUCCACUGGAGAGAGGCUCGGAGUGAUUGAAUUCACUGGAGAGGUGAGACUGUCUCAGAAUGUGUUUGGUCCAACUGGCUUGAUGAACACAUCACCAAUCAAAAUCAGGCUUGUUGAUGAUGCCGUACCCUCUGCUGUGCAUACUGCUCGUAAUGUGCCAUUCCCACUGCUGAAGUCGGUGAAACAGGAACUGGAGAGAAUGGAAGAUGCUGGAAUCAUCAGGUCAGUCUCAGAACCCACUGACUGGUGUGCACCAAUGGUGCCCGUUCCCAAGGGUGGUGGUUCAGUCCGCAUCACGGUCGAUUACAAGAACCUGAACAAGUGUGUGAAGAGAGAGAUCCACCCUAUCCCCACUGUGGAACAGUUGACAGUUGAACUUGCAGGUUCGAGCAUCUACAGCAAGCUGGAUGCCAGCUUGGGGUUCUACCAGCUCCCACUGGACAGGGAGUCACAGCUACUGACCACUUUCAUCACCCCAUUUGGCAGGAAGGCAUUCCAGCGGCUUCCAAUGGGGAUAAACCUGGCGCCUGAAUGUUUUCAGAAAAAGAUGCAGGAAAUGCUGGCUGGUCUUGAUGGUGUACUGAUAUACAUGGAUGACAUUGUUGUGUACGGUGACAGUGUGACGCACGACGAGCGUCUGCAGGCAGUUCUCCAGCGGAUCGAGUCAUCCGGGCUGAAGCUGAACAAAGCGAAGUGCGAGUUCAAGAAGGACAGCAUCAUCUUCUUUGGCCAGAAGAUCAGCAGCAGAGGAGUGGAACCGGAUCCUGCCAAGCUCGCAGCAGUGAGGGAACUGCAGGCGCCACAGAACGAGCAGGAACUGAGGAGCCUACUUGGAACCGUCAACUAUCUGGAAUGACGUCAGCGAUUACGUGUCCGGCGUGAUCGGCAGCCUGCCCGUGAGUGAUCACCGCCUGGAGGAGAUUCGGGUGCUGCAGGAGAGGGAUGAUGACAUCUGUCGUGUCACCCAGCAGACUCUUCAUGGCUGGAUGGAGGGUCCGAGGGCCCUGCAGGACUACUUCAGCGUCCGGCAUGACCUGAGUGUGGUGCACCUGUCGUCAGGCCCUCUGCUCCUGUACCGCAACCGUCUCGUCAUCCCUUCGAGUAUCAGAACCUGUCCACCGAGUACGGUUUCCGGCAUCGGAUAACCGACCCUCACACGCCGUCUUCGAACGGCGCCGCUGAGCGCGCCGUGAGGACGGCUAAGUGGCUCCUCCGCCAGCGGGACCCGCAUCUGGCGCUGCUCAACUACCGCGCUACGCCGGUGGAGGCGACAGGCCAGUCGCCUGCUCGUCUGCUCUUUGGACGCGAGAUCCAGACUCGGCUUCCGCGUCCGCGGGUCGUCGAGUGUCAGGACUCUACACUCGACGCCGCGAGGAGGAGGGAUGGCGAGAGGAAGGAGCUUCAACGGGAGAGCUUCAACAAGCACCAUGGAGCGCGCGACCUGCCGCCGUUGCGGCCUGGGGAUGUGGUGCGAGUGCGAACACGGAUCGACCCGGACUGGCGCGAGCGCGUGACAGUGCGUGAGCGGAUCGGGCGACGAAGUUAUGUGGUAGAUAACAAUCGUCAUACAGUGAGGCGCAAUCGAGGCGCCCUGCGGCUGUCACCGGGGAUCGAGCCUCCCACGGGCUCGUCGGACCUCCCGGUGCCCUUGUCGGUGCGGCCGUCGCCGGGCGUGCCGGAAUCUGUGCGGCCGUCGCCGGGCGUGCCUGUUGGUGUUUCAGUGCGGCCGAGCCCGACUGUCUCGAUGCCGCGGCCGGCUAUCUCUCCGCCGGGUCGGACGCCGGAGCCCUGUCCUUCCGCAGCGAGUCCGAGCAGGACCCGCAGCGGCCGGCUGUACGGGUCACGUUCGUGAUCCUCUGUACGAGUAUGCCGUUGUCUGUUGUACCGUUUCGCUUUUUGGGGGAGAUGUAUCGAUAUGUUGAGUCGUCUAUAUCGAUAUGUUGUGAGUCGCUUAUAUCGAUAUGUUGUGGGUCGCCGUUUGUAUCGAUAUCAACGUGUGGGCCAAUAAAGGCGUGACGUGUCACUUGCUGGCACGGCACGGAGCACGAAA